GGAAGUAACACUUAUCAAGUCUCGUGGGUAAGGCGCAGACACAAGGGCUUUUAUUAAGAAAAAAAAUCUCUUACCAGGGCUCGCUACCUUUCACUUAUCAAUGUCCGAUUUGUUUUUCCUCCAGUUUCCCUAUUUCCAAAAGAACACACAGACACACACACACACACACUGCGCUGUUUUUCCUACAGUUUCCCUAUUUCCAAAAGAAAACACACACACACACACCCCGCCCCAUAUACCUCCAGAGGCAAACAGGUGCUACCUUUCACUUAUCAACGUCCGGGUUGUUUUUCCUCCAGUUUCCGUAUUUCCAAAAGAAAACACACACACACACACACUGCGCCUCAUUUACCUCCAGAGGCAAACAGGUGCAACAGGCGAGGGGCCUGGCUCACUGCAGCUCGCAGGAUAACGCCCUGCACGGCUACUUGCGCUGCACCGCCGGAGGCCAGACCCCGCACAAGGCUCCGACAACCGAGCAGGGCGUGGGAGGACGGACGAUGCGGGACAGCGAAGGCAGGCAUUAGCGGCUUCCUGGGAGUCAGAAGGCCAGACGGGGAAGUCGGAGGGGAGUAAGAAGUGCAUUAGACACAUGUGAAGCAACCAUGUGCCUGGGCUGGGCCACUAGAGCCUGUGUCCUACCCUGUGAAGCAGCCUGCCCUGUGCCUCCACUUCGUCUCUCCCAGCCAAAAUCACAGGCACUAUGAUGGCACCCUCUGCCACACACGUUGCAUCCAGCUGGGCUGUGUUAACCCUCAUUCAACUUGCAAAACUCAUGCUUCAGCGAUGGUUUUGCUGUUACAAACUAAACAAAUUUGGCCACACACAACUCCAUUUUUUUUGUUUUGUUUUGUUUUGUCUUUUUAAGUAAAUAACUGUGAUCACUAAAAGGUUUGAGGCAGGUCAGCUAUUUGAAGGGUACUUAGUUGUGCUAGAAAAUACGUUUAAAAAGCAAAGUCUGCAUUUUGACUUACAAGUGAAGAGGUUUCCAACAAAACCCUAAAAGCUCUGUUUAUAUUUAUCACCUCUGCUCAUCAUGUGGAAUCUUUAAGAAGACCGCUGUCUUCUUAAAGCCCCUCUAUAGGAAAACUAAACACUGACUCAAAUAAAGUUAAGAGAAAUGUUAACUGAGAGUUAUUUGAAUUUAUACAAUGCAAGCUGUAGUGAGAAAAUACAUAGCAUGCUAUUUAGAUAGGUUGGAUAUGAUUAUUUUUAUUUAAAGAGAAACAUUAUCACUCAAAAAGGGCAGAAAAUAAAAUUUCACAGGAUGAUCUUUCAGGACAAAAUUUAAAAGUUAAAAUAUCCAGGUUCUAACAGCACUUGAAAUUAAAUAGUAAAAGGUAGGCCAGGCAUAGUGGCACAUCUGUAAACUCAAUACUGUGGGAGGCCAUGGUGGAAGAAUUACUUUAGCUAGCCCAGGAGUUCAACAUCAGCCUGGGCAAUAGAGUGAGACACUCAUCUACAAAAAAAAUUUUUUAAUGAGCUGGAUGUGGUGGCAUGCAUCUGUAUUCCCAGGGACUCAAGAGGCUGGGGUGUAAAGAUCACUUGAGCCCAGGAGGUUGAGACAGCAGUGAACCAUGUUUGCACCACUAUUCUCCAGCUUGGGCCACAGAGCAGGACCUUGUCUCUAAAUAAAUAAAUAAAUAAAUAAAAUAAAAAAGUAAACUAAAUUGAUUUGUUUAUCUAGAACUCAGUGGUGUAGAUGGACUAAAUGACAAAGAAUGGAAGCACCGAGAUACCAAAUUGCUCUGAUGGUAGAUUGUCUCAAAGUUUGUGUAGAUGUCUCGAAGUUCAUAUAGAUCAUCUCAAAGGUUGUGUAGAUUGUCUAAAGUUAUUGAGAGAUUGUCUCAAAGUUUGUGUAGAUUGUCUUGAAGUUCAUGUAGAUUGUCUUGAAGUUCACAUAGAUUUUCUCAAUGUUUGCAUAGAUUGUCAUGAAGUUUGUGGUAGAUUGUCUUGAAG